AGGACGAACGCUGGCGGCGUGCUUAACACAUGCAAGUCGAGCGAGGCUCCUCCUUCGGGAGGAUGCCCUAGCGGCGAACGGGUGAGUAACACGUGGGCAACCUGCCCCUAGCACUGGGAUAACCCCGGGAAACCGGGGCUAAUACCGGAUACGACUUCGGAAGGCAUCUUCUGAAGUGGAAAAGGUUACUGGCUAGGGAUGGGCCCGCGGCCUAUCAGCUUGUUGGUGGGGUAAUGGCCCACCAAGGCGACGACGGGUAGCCGGCCUGAGAGGGCGACCGGCCACACUGGGACUGAGACACGGCCCAGACUCCUACGGGAGGCAGCAGUGGGAAUAUUGCACAAUGGGCGAAAGCCUGAUGCAGCGACGCCGCGUGAGGGAUGACGGCCUUCGGUUGUAACCUCUUUCAGCAGGGACGAAGCGAAAGUGACGGUACCUGCAGAAGAAGCACCGGCCAACUACGUGCCAGCAGCCGC
rnacentral:rRNA from 1 species